rnacentral:rRNA from 1 species
UACGUAGGGUGCGAGCGUUAAUCGGAAUUACUGGGCGUAAAGCGUGCGCAGGCGGUCUCGUAAGACAGGUGUGAAAUCCCCGGGCUCAACCUGGGAACUGCGCUUGUGACUGCGAGGCUGGAGUGCGGAAGAGGGAGGUGGAAUUCCACGUGUAGCAGUGAAAUGUGUAGAGAUGUGGAGGAACACCGAUGGCGAAGGCAGCCUCCUGGUCCAGUACUGACGCUCAUGCACGAAAGCGUGGGGAGCAAACAGG